UAUCUCCUGCGGCGUUCGAGCAGUGCUGGGUGUUUCCUGAACCUAUUUUUACCCCGGAAACUUUUUACCUUUCAUGGUGUGCAUGCCUGUUUUUUUCAGGAAGCCUGAUUGACUGGAUUUGUUUCCACUUGAACCUUCGGUUCAAGGACGAAAGCACGAGACGGCGCAGGCGGGAGAUUC
rnacentral:other from 1 species